AACGAACGCUGGCGGCAGGCUUAACACAUGCAAGUCGAGCGCCCCGCAAGGGGAGCGGCAGACGGGUGAGUAACGCGUGGGAAUCUACCCAUCUCUACGGAAUAACGCAUGGAAACGUGUGCUAAUACCGUAUACGUCCUUCGGGAGAAAGAUUUAUCGGAGAUGGGUGAGCCCGCGUUGGAUUAGCUAGUUGGGGGGGUAAAGGCCUACCAAGGCGACGAUCCAUAGCUGGUCUGAGAGGAUGAUCAGCCACACUGGGACUGAGACACGGCCCAGACUCCUACGGGAGGCAGCAGUGGGGAAUAUUGGACAAUGGGCGCAAGCCUGAUCCAGCCAUGCCGCGUGAGUGAUGAAGGCCCUAGGGUUGUAAAGCUCUUUCACCGGUGAAGAUAAUGACGGUAACCGGAGAAGAAGCCCCGGCUAACUUCGUGCCAGCAGCCGCGGUAACAC
rnacentral:rRNA from 1 species